UCCCCAAAAGUGAAACGAAUGCGGAGAGAAGCAAGAGUUGGGGAAGAGAAACUGAGUGGGGAGAAAGCACGCCCGGCUGAGGAUCAGCAAAAGCAGACCCCGCUAGAGGCACGAGUGAAACAACACGAACGACCACAGCGCUGUGCCGGCCCAUCCUUCAGCAGCCCACGCACUGCCAGAGGAGUAUCCCCGGCUGAAUCUUGGCCGCCGCUUAAUGUGAGGCCAAAGCCCGCGGAACCGCGAACCAGUUCCACAUAGAACCGUCCAGAGGCCUGGAGCGGCUUCGAAGCAGAACGUGCCUUAUUCUGGGUCACUUGGGGCGGUGCGGUACCUGUACCCAAGGUCUCUGACCGGUGAUGCUGGAGUAAAGACACAAGUGUACAUACA